GAUGGCAGAUGAAGGAAUGAUGGGAUCUCUCCGUGGAAGGAGGCUGGAAUGGGUGGAAAUCAUCGAGCCUCGGACCCGGGAGCGCAUGUACGCCAACCUGAUCACGGGGGAGUGCGUGUGGGACCCCCCCGCCGGCGUGCGGAUCAAACGCACCAAUGAGAACCAGUGGUGGGAGCUCUUCGACCCCAACACCUCCCGCUUCUACUACUACAAUGCCACCACGCAGAGGACGGUGUGGCACCGUCCCCAGAACUGCGACAUCAUCCCGCUGGCCAAGCUGCAGACGCUGAAGCAGAACACGGAGUCGCCGCGGGCUUCCACGGAAAACAGCCCCGGCAGGAGCAGCAAUGUCAGCAGGGAGGGAAGCACCAGCUCGUCCUUGGAGCAGGAGCUGGAAGGCAAUGAGAAGGUGCAGGAGCAGCGGUCGAGCCGCCAGUCCAGCCAGUAUUCCGUGGUGAAGGAGGAAACAGAAAGUUCGUCGCCUUCCGGAGUGUUUGAGAAGGAAUACGACAUUUAUCGGGAUUACAGCGCGGAAGGACAACUCCUGCACUACAGGACCUCAUCCCUCCGAUGGAACGCCGGCACCAAGGAGCGGAUGCUGAUCAAGGUGACGGAUCGGGAGCCCAGCUUCCUCCUCCACCAAGGCAACGGCUACACCCCGGAAAACCAACCGGGCUCCCGCUCCCGCCGGCCCUCGGGCGGCCAACAGUCGCCCAACCUCCAAACCUUCUCCUCGGAUGCUGACAACUCCGUCUUCUUCCCGGAGAGGAAGCAGUCGCCCUUCCUGAAGAGGGCCGAGCACGUGGGCAGCUGCUCGCCGCUGCUGGGCCGGGGCGAUUCCUUCUGCUCGCCGCUCCAAGCCCAGCACCGCAAACAUUCCAGCGAAUCCCAGCCCUCGUCGCCCCGCUACGCCUACGAGCCCCCGCUCUACGAGGAGCCCCCCAUGGAAUACCAGGCUCCCAUCUACGACGAGCCUCCUGUGGACAUGCAGUACGAAGCCAGCGGGAGCUACAAGGCCGGCUCGCCGCAGAAAUCGCCCAUCCGGAAGCCUCACCCUUUCCUUCAGUCGCCCAAGCAAGGCUCCAACUCGCCCUACCAGCAGUUGGUGCUCACCAAGCAGAAGUGUCCCGACCGCUUCAUGAGCCUGGAAUACAGCCCGGCCGGCAAGGAAUACGUCCGGCAGUUGGUCUACGUGGAGCAGUCGGGCUCCAGCCCCAAGAUGAAGACGGGCUUGAGGCACAAAUAUUCCCCCAACCCCAUCGGCGGCUCCUACUCGCUGCAGCACAGCCCCUGCCUGGUGCGGGACCAACGCCUGGAGAUCAAAUCGGGCGACUACAGCAGCAUGGAGGGACCCGACUUCUGCCCUGGCCCCACGGGCGCCCAGGUGGCCCAGGGCGAGGACUCCAUGUCGUGGUCCAGCCAGCAGGACACCUUGUCCUCCACCGGUUACUCGCCCUCCACCAGGAAGAGGAAAAGCCGGAAGCCUUCGGUGAACCACGACGCCAACGCCUCCUCCACGGACGGCUCGGGGGAGCGGGAGGCGUUGGGCGAGCUGGGUGAGGAACGAGCCACGCCGGGACCCAACAGGUCGCCGAUGAACCGGACGGAGAGCAAAGCGGCCGAGGCGGAGGCGGCGCGGGGCUUCCCGGAGCCGUUCCUGGCGCAGGCGCGCCUGGCGUGGGAAGCGCAGCAGGCCCACUACCACAUGAAGCAACGGAGCAGCUGGGAUUCCCAAAAGGACGGUUCGGGCUACGAGAGUGACGGAGCGCUCCCGCUGCCCAUGCCGGGCCCGGUGGUGCGAGCCUUCAGCGAGGACGAGGCGUUGGCGCAGCAGGAGAACAAGCACUGGAAGAGGAACACCUUCGAGAAGCUGGGCUUCCCCCAGAUCCUGCUGGAGAAAAGCGUCUCCGUCCAGACCAACCUGGCCUCCCCCGAGCCCUACCUACAUCCAUCUCAGUCCGAGGACCUCGGCGCCUGCGCGCAGUUCGAAAACAGCCGGCAGACGCGGAACAUGAUGCCGAGCGCCAGCUGCGUCUUCCCCACCUUCAACCUGCGCAAGCCCUCCUCGGAGACGGACAUUGAGAACUGGGCCUCCAAGCACUUCAACAAGCACACCCAAGGGCUCUUCCGACGGAAGGUCUCCAUCGCCAACAUGCUGGCCUGGAGCAGCGAAUCCAUCAAGAAACCCAUGAUCAUGACCAACGACCGCAACGUCAAGAAGGAGGCGUGCGAGAUCUUCAAGCUCAUCCAGAUGUACAUGGGCGACCGGCGGGCCAAGACGGACCAGCUCAACGUGGCCUUGGAGAUCGCCACCAAAGGUUGGAGCAUGCAGGGGCUGCGAGAUGAGCUCUACAUCCAGCUGUGCCGGCAGACCACCGAGAACUUCCGAUACGAGAGCCUGGCCCGCGGCUGGGAGCUCAUGGCCAUUUGUUUGGCCUUUUUCCCACCCACUCCCAAAUUCCAUUCCUACCUUGAAGGAUACAUUUACCGGCACAUGGAUCCGGUGAAUGACACCAAAGUUUCGCGGCACCUCCGGCACAUCCUGGCAAGGACCAAUCAGAAGAAACCCAAAUUGCGAAAGAAACCAAAGCCCCAGAGCGAGGAGAUCCCGGGGGUUGCCAUCAGCACUUAUGCCAAGUACUGCUACAACAAACUCCAGAAGGCGGCGCUGACCGGGGCCAAGAAGGGCCUGAAGAAGCCGAACAUUGAGGAGAUCCGUCAUGCCAAGAACGCCGUCUUCAACCCGUCCAUGUUCGGCAGCUCGCUGCAGGACAUCGUGGCCAUGCAGAAGGAACGGUACCCGGACCGGCAGCUGCCCUGGGUCCAGACCCGGCUCUCCGAGGAGGUCCUGGCACUCAACGGGGAUCAGACUGAGGGCAUCUUCAGGGUCCCCGGUGACAUUGACGAGGUCAACGCCCUCAAGCUGCAGGUGGACCAAUGGAAGAUCCCCACCGGCUUGGAGGACCCGCACGUUCCCGCGUCGCUGCUGAAGCUCUGGUACCGUGAGCUGGAGGAGCCGCUGAUCCCUCACGAGUUCUACGAGCAGUGCAUCUCCCACUAUGAGAACCCUGAGGCCGCCAUCGCUGUUGUCCACUCCCUGCCCCGGAUCAACAAAAUGGUGCUGUGCUACCUCAUCCGCUUCCUCCAGGUCUUCGUGCAGCCAGCCAACGUGGCCGUCACCAAGAUGGACGUCAAUAACCUGGCCAUGGUGAUGGCUCCCAACUGCCUGCGCUGCCAAUCAGACGACCCGCGGAUCAUCUUCGAGAACACGCGCAAGGAGAUGUCCUUCAUCCGUGUCCUCAUCCAGCACCUGGACACCAGCUUCAUGGAGGGCGUCCUAUAGCGGCCGCCACCGCGCUGUCCCCACCCCGCCACCGGCCCCCUGUCCCCUCCGAGGGUCAAAGUCCCCAGGUGGUGGCACCUAUCUCCACCAAGAACCAGGAGGCCCAAGAGGUUCUCCAACUUCACCACGUGGUGAGCUCCGUCUCCACCAAAAACCAGGAGGCCCAUGCAGUUCUUCGCCACGUGGUGAGCUCCAUCUCCAUCAAGAACUGGGAGGUCCGUGAGGUUCUUCAACUUUAUCACGUGGUGAGCUCCAUCUCCAUCAAGAAUCAGGAGGUUUGUGAGGUUCUUCAGCGCGUGGUGAGCUCCAUCUCCAUCACAAACCAGGAAGUCCAUGCGGUUCUACACCGCCUGGUGAGCUCCAUCUCCACCAAGAACUGGGAUGUCAAGGAGGUUCUCCAACUUCUCUGGGUGGUGAGCUCCAUCUCCAGCCAGACCUCAUGGACAGAGGGCAUCAAGCAAUUGUCUCCAUCCCUUCCUGCCCGGAUGUGGGGAUGAGGAGAAGUCCUUGAGGUCCAUCCCAACCUUCUGGCCAUGUCACUGCCUGGCUCUUCUCUGGGAGAGUCACGAGGAACAUCCCGGCUCUGUGGGGGUCUCCAAGGGGUUGGGAAAGUGGGAGAAGUUCACCUGGACACCAGGGGACCACGGUGACAAUUUUCCCCCACAGGGAAGAGACCUGAGAGGUCCCCAUGGGAGAGGUGGCCCGAGGGGGUCAUGGUGGCCAAUUGUCCAUCCUGGAGGAGAUGGGUGGGCUGGAUGUCCCCACAUGUCACGAUGUCCAUCCCAUCCCACACAUGUUGGCAUCACCAGGACCUGUCCCAGCACCCACUGGGUCCUUGUUGGACCUGUCCCAGGACCUCCAAUCUGCUCCUGCUUCUUCUGGGCCAAUCUUGGUGUCCAUCAUCAACUCCUGGACCCAUCUUGAGGUCCAUCAUUUCCUUCUGGUCCUAUAGGACCCAUCUUGGGGUCCAGCAUCUCCUCGUGGUCCUCCUGAGCCUAUCUUGGAAUCCAUCAUCAACUCCUGGACUGAUCUUGGGGUCAAACAUCUCCUACUCCUUCUGGGGGCCCAUCUUGGAGUCCAUCAUCUCAUCCUUAUCCUCCUGAACCCAUCUUAGUGUCCAUCAUCAGCUCCUGGAGCCAUCCUGGAGUCCGUCUUCUCUUCCUGGUCCUCCAAGUCUCACCUUGGUGCCCAUCUCCUCCAGGAUCCAUCCUGGUGUCCAUCAUCUCCUCCAGGACCCACGUGGUCACCCAUCUCCACCUGGUCCUGCCCAGCCCACCUCAGUGUCCCCAGUGUCCUCCAGGACCCAUCUUGGUGUCCCUGAUCUCCUCCUGGACCCACCUUGGUGCCCCCCAACCUCCUCCAAGACCCACCUGAGCACCAUCAUCUGUUCCAGGUCCCACCUGAGCACCCCCAACUCCCUCCAGGUCCACCCAAAUCUUCUCCAGGUCCCACCUUGGUGAUCCCAGAUCUUCCAGGACUCAUCCUGGUGCACCCCCACCUCAUCCAGAUCCUCCAGAUCCCACCUUGGUGUCCCCAAAUCUCCACCAGGUCCCACCUUGGUGACCCCAAAUCUCCUCCAGGUCCCCCAAAAUGGAGAAGUCCCCAAGGCCAGGAGGGUCUCAUUGGUGGGGGGUCCCCAAAAUGGGGUCCCAUGGGUGGGAGGUCCCCAAAAUGAAGAGGGCCCCAUCAUGGGGGGGGUUCCCCAAGAUCAUGGGGGGUCCCAUGGAGCGGGUCCCCAAAAUGAGGAUGGUCCCCAAAGCGGGAGGAGAUCCCAAAGUAGGAGAACCCAUGGGGGGGUUCCCAAGAUCCUGGGAGGGUCCCCAAGGUGGGGGAGAGGGUCCCAUGGGUGGGGUCCCCAAAGUGAGGGGUCCCACAGUGGGGAGGUCCCCAAGGUCCUGGAAGGGUCCCCAAAUUGGGGUGGGGUCCCAUGGAGGGGUUCCCAAGGUGAGACCCCAAAUUGGGGUGGGAGGGGUCCCCAAGGUCCUGAAAGGGUCCCCAAAGUGGGAGGGGAUCCCCAAAAUGGGGAGAUCCCAAAGUUGGGGGGGGUCCCAUGGAGGGGUCCCCAAGGUGAGACCCCAAAUUGGGGUGGGGGGGAUCCCCAAGGUCCUGGAAGGGUCCCCAAAGUUGGGGGGGAGCCCCAUGGAGGGGUUCUCAAGGUUGGGACCGACCCCAAAUUGGGGGUGGGGAUCCCCAGAUUGCUGUGGGGUCCCCAAGGUCCUGGAAGGGUCCCCAAAGUUGGGUGGGGUCCCAUGGAGGGGUCCCCAAGGUUGGGACCGACCCCAAAUUUGGGGGGGGGUCCCCAAAUUGGGGUGUGGGGGUCCCCAAACUGGGGGUGGUGGGGACAACCCAGCGCUACCUCCCAGCUCUGCUCACUGCCAGGGGACCCCUCCUUUUCCUCCUCUUCCUCUGCUUAAUUAAUUUUUAAUGAAUUAAUCAUUAAUUCCCCGUUCAUUAAUUUUCAAAUCAUUUCCUCUCCUUUUUUUUUUUUUUUUUCCGGCGGAUUUUUUUUUUUCUCCGUUUGUUUGUUUCGGUUUUUUUUUUU